CCUACGGGAGGCAGCAGUAGGGAAUCUUUCACAAUGGGCGAAAGCCUGAUGGAGCAACGCCGCGUGCAGGAUGAAGGCCUUCGGGUUGUAAACUGCUUUUAUAAGCGAGAAAUAUGAUGGUAACUUAUGAAUAAGCAUCGGCUAACUACGUGCCAGCAGCCGCGGUCAUACGUAGGAUCCGAGCAUUAUCCGGAGUGACUGGGUGUAAAGAGUUGCGUAGGUGGCAUAAUAAGUAGCUAGUGAAAUCUGGUGGCUCAACCAUUCAGACUAUUAGCUAAACUGUUAAGCUCGAGACCGUUAGGGGUAACUGGAAUUUCUAGUGUAGGAGUGAAAUCCGUAGAUAUUAGAAGGAACACCAAUAGCGUAGGCAGGUUGCUGGGACGGUUCUGACACUAAGGCACGAAAGCGUAGGGAGCAAACGGGAUUAGAUACCCCUGUAGUC
rnacentral:rRNA from 1 species